AAAUUGAAGAGUUUGAUCAUGGCUCAGAUUGAACGCUGGCGGCAGGCCUAACACAUGCAAGUCGAACGGUAACAGGAAGCAGCUUGCUGCUUUGUUGACGAGUGGCGGACGGGUGAGUAAUGUCUGGGAAACUGCCUGAUGGAGGGGGAUAACUACUGGAAACGGUGGCUAAUACCGCAUAACGUCGCAAGACCAAAGAGGGGGACCUUCGGGCCUCUUGCCAUCAGAUGUGCCCAGAUGGGAUUAGCUUGUUGGUGAGGUAACGGCUCACCAAGGCGACGAUCCCUAGCUGGUCUGAGAGGAUGACCAGCCACACUGGAACUGAGACACGGUCCAGACUCCUACGGGAGGCAGCAGUGGGGAAUAUUGCACAAUGGGCGCAAGCCUGAUGCAGCCAUGCCGCGUGUAUGAAGAAGGCCUUCGGGUUGUAAAGUACUUUCAGCGGGGAGGAAGGUGUUGUGGUUAAUAACCGCAGCAAUUGACGUUACCCGCAGAAGAAGCACCGGCUAACUCCGUGCCAGCAGCCGCGGUAAUACGGAGGGUGCAAGCGUUAAUCGGAAUUACUGGGCGUAAAGCGCACGCAGGCGGUCUGUCAAGUCGGAUGUGAAAUCCCCGGGCUCAACCUGGGAACUGCAUUCGAAACUGGCAGGCUUGAGUCUUGUAGAGGGGGGUAGAAUUCCAGGUGUAGCGGUGAAAUGCGUAGAGAUCUGGAGGAAUACCGGUGGCGAAGGCGGCCCCCUGGACAAAGACUGACGCUCAGGUGCGAAAGCGUGGGGAGCAAACAGGAUUAGAUACCCUGGUAGUCCACGCCGUAAACGAUGUCUACUUGGAGGUUGUGCCCUUGAGGCGUGGCUUCCGGAGCUAACGCGUUAAGUAGACCGCCUGGGGAGUACGGCCGCAAGGUUAAAACUCAAAUGAAUUGACGGGGGCCCGCACAAGCGGUGGAGCAUGUGGUUUAAUUCGAUGCAACGCGAAGAACCUUACCUGGUCUUGACAUCCACGGAAGUUUUCAGAGAUGAGAAUGUGCCUUCGGGAACCGUGAGACAGGUGCUGCAUGGCUGUCGUCAGCUCGUGUUGUGAAAUGUUGGGUUAAGUCCCGCAACGAGCGCAAC
rnacentral:rRNA from 1 species